rnacentral:rRNA from 1 species
GAUGAACGCUGACGGAAUGCUUAACACAUGCAAGUCAACUUGAAUUUGGGUUUUUUAACUUAGAUUUGGGUGGCGGACGGGUGAGUAACGCGUAAAGAACUUGCCUCACAGCUAGGGACAACAUUUGGAAACGAAUGCUAAUACCUGAUAUUAUGAUUAUAAGGCAUCUCAGAAUUAUGAAAGCUAUAUGCGCUGUGAGAGAGCUUUGCGUCCCAUUAGCUAGUUGGAGAGGUAACGGCUCACCAAGGCGAUGAUGGGUAGCCGGCCUGAGAGGGUGAACGGCCACAAGGGGACUGAGACACGGCCCUUACUCCUACGGGAGGCAGCAGUGGGGAAUAUUGGACAAUGGACCAAGAGUCUGAUCCAGCAAUUCUGUGUGCACGAUGACGUUUUUCGGAAUGUAAAGUGCUUUCAGUUGGGAAGAAAAAAAUGACGGUACCAACAGAAGAAGUGACGGCUAAAUACGUG